GCUCUCGUAGCUCAGUGGUAGAGCGUGGGAUUGCAGUCAUGUUAAGCAUUGCCAAGCCAUGCCAAGCCAAGAUCCUAAGGCCCGUUGUUCGAACCAGCGUGAGAGCU